rnacentral:rRNA from 1 species
AUACGUAGGGUGCGAGCGUUAAUCGGAAUUACUGGGCGUAAAGCGUGCGCAGGCGGCUUUGCAAGACAGAGGUGAAAUCCCCGGGCUCAACCUGGGAACUGCCUUUGUGACUGCAAGGCUAGAGUACGGCAGAGGGGGAUGGAAUUCCGCGUGUAGCAGUGAAAUGCGUAGAUAUGCGGAGGGACACCAAUGGCGAAGGCAAUCCCCUGGGCCUGUACUGACGCUCAUGCACGAAAGCGUGGGGAGCAAACAGGAUUAGAAACCCUAGUAGUCC